CGCGUAGGCGGCUUGACAAGUCCCGGGUGAAAUCCCUCGGCUCAACCGAGGAACUGCCCUGGAAACUGUCUGGCUUGAGGCCGGGAGAGGGUAGUGGAAUUCCCAGUGUAGCGGUGAAAUGCGUAGAUACUGGGAGGAACACCGGUGGCGAAGGCGGCUACCUGGACCGGUUCUGACGCUGAGGCGCGAAAGCGUGGGUAGCAAACAGGAUUAGAUACCCUGGUAGUCCACGCUGUAAACGAUGGAUGCUCGGUGCUGGGGGUAUCGACCCCUCCGGUGCCUUAGCUAACGCGUUAAGCAUCCCGCCUGGGGAGUACGGUCGCAAGGCUGAA
rnacentral:rRNA from 1 species